AGUGAACGCUGGCGGUAGGCCUAACACAUGCGAGUCGAACGGCAGCACAGUAAGAGCUUGCUCUUACGGGUGGCGAGUGGCGGACGGGUGAGGAAUACAUCGGAAUCUACUUUUUCGUGGGGGAUAACGUAGGGAAACUUACGCUAAUACCGCAUACGACCUACGGGUGAAAGCAGGGGAUCUUCGGACCUUGCGCGAUUGAAUGAGCCGAUGUCGGAUUAGCUAGUUGGCGGGGUAAAGGCCCACCAAGGCGACGAUCCGUAGCUGGUCUGAGAGGAUGAUCAGCCACACUGGAACUGAGACACGGUCCAGACUCCUACGGGAGGCAGCAGUGGGGAAUAUUCGACAAUGGGCGCAAGCCUGAUCCAGCCAUACCGCGUGGGUGAAGAAGGCCUUCGGGUUGUAAAGCCCUUUUGUUGGGAAAGAAAAGCAGCAGGUUAAUACCCCGCUGUUCUGACGGUACCCAAAGAAUAAGCACCGGCUAACUUCGUG
rnacentral:rRNA from 1 species